GAAAUUUGAGAGCCUGUCUCAAAGUUGUAAACAAACCAUGAUUAUGGUGGUGCUGAAAGCUAUCCUUCUGGGACAUUUUUCCAACUAAUAAAGACCAUUUUAAACUAAACUAAUUAUCUGUACACUGCAAAGCAAUUAACACAAUUGAGUUUCCCCUUAGUCUGCUGGACCAUCUCACAUUUACAAGGCACUGCCACGGACCAGCCUCUGUGUGAGUCCCCUGACACAUAUCAUUACUUCAGAAUAUCACUUAAUCUUCAGAGUAGUGCUGUGAGAUGGGUAAUGUCAUCCUCACUUUACAUAUAACAAAGAAAAAUGUAUUAUAGAGAAAUUAUAUCAUGAUUAAUUCCUAUCCACUUCCUAAGAAGGAUUAAACUAGAACUGAUAACUGGGAUUUUUCCUUUCUUUUUAGGCUUUCGUUUUUGCCAUAAUUGAAGCACAGUUGAUUUGCACUGUCGUGAGAACUUUCUUUUUUGAGAGAGGAGUAAAAAAAUUGUUUUUAUUAAGUAUAGUUGAUUUACAGUGCUAUGUCACAUUCUGCUGUACAGCAUAGUGACCCAGUGAUACCUGCAUAUGCAUUGUUCUUCUCAUACUGUCUUAACCCUUUUCCUCUGAAUCAGUGCUUCUCAACCAGCAUGAUUUUGUUCCCUGGGAAACACUGGGCAGUGUUUGGAUGUGGUUUUCAUAACUGAGGGGGACUCGGUUUCACCACCAAGUUUCCCUGCAACUCAUAUAAGCUCCUCUCUUCCAUGACUCCUACAUAUGCACCACCACUUCAGUGUCUUAAUAUCUCCUGGGAAUUAAACAAGCGCUGCACUUGUACAUGCUCCCCAUUCUGCCUGGAGUUCACUGAAUCCCCUUUCCUACAAAAUGUGUAUCGUCUUCAAGACACAUGAAAUCUCACUAGUUCUUUGGUGUCUUUCCCCACCCACACCCUGCUCAUCUUCUCCUCAGGCAUAGUUAAGUCACCAUAUUUUUCCUCAACCCCUACCUUCAUGGUUACUCAACAAUUCAGUUGUUUUGUAACUUACUGAUUUCCUUGAUCGUCUCUCCCUUAGGCUGAAUGCCUGGAAGACAAGGACCCCCACGUUAGUCAGCAUAGUAUUCCUGAUGGCAGUUGAGAAUAGUCACUAAACAAAUGCCGUAUUGUGUAUUGAAUAAAUGCUAAGUGGUCCAUGAAUCCCUCUUGAUUUAUCAUUCCCUUGCAGCUAGGGAAAUCAUGCAGGAAAUUAAUUUGCCCACCAUUCUGGAGCAACCAGAAAGAUUAGCAGUGAAUUUAUUAACUUGAGCUUUAACCCUCUCAUCAUUCUUCAGUUGUAAAAAAAAUCCAAAUAGAAAAAAAUGUAAUGUUUUAGGAGGUGACUUGUAAUACUUUAACACCUUUGAAAGAUGUAGUGUCAUUCAAAUUCCUCUCUACUUAUUAAUGUAAGUUCUUAGAAAAUUCUAAGAUCUUAUAAUGAUCUCUUUAAAAAAAAGGCUACCAUUUAGGGUGGAAUGUUGUCCAUUCAUUCAACAGAUUUACUUGUGAUUGCCAAGGGGGAGGGGGAGGGAAUGGGAUGGAUUGGGAGUUUGGGGGUAACAGAUGCAGACUAUUGCCUUUGGAAUGGAUUAGCAAUGAGAUCCUGCUGGGUAGCACCGGAAACUGUUUCUAGUCACUUAUGAUAGAGCAUGAUAAUGUGAGAAAAGAGAAUGUAUACAUAGAUGUGUAACUGGGUCACCAUGGUGUACAGUAGAAAAAAAAUAAUGUAUUGGGGAAAUAAAAAAUAAAUUUUUUAAUUAAAAAAAUAAAUUAUUAUUUAGAGCAAAAAAAAUCAGUUCACUGCAUAAAGCUGUUCUAAUUUUCAAACUCUUAAAUACAGAACAAAAAAACAAAUUUGUGGUCUUCAAAGCUCACAUUUAUAAAAACCUGCCUUUGCUAAUGUGUGAUCUGUUUUAACCAGGUACAUUCAAGAAAUAUAUUCAUUAGAGUAUACAACUGUAUUCUUACCACCAUCAAAUACCAUUGUUAUUAGUACAUCAUACUUACUGGAUGUUUUCACAUUUCUACAUAAAACUGCUGUAAAAGUAGUUACCCAUCUGAAAAAAUAAUUGGAGAGUUUUUAUACCUUAUUUUAAUUUUUAAAAUUUUUUCAUUGAUCUAUUUGCAGAAGGGUCUAAUAUACAUGUUUUAGUAGUAGUAGUAUAUAUAAUUAGCAUACAAGUGCAUGUGCAUGUGUGUUUCCCAUUAAUUAAACACAUUGUUUUGGAUUUUCCCCAAAAUAUUUUCCCAUGAUGAUUUUCAACAAAGAUUUAAUUACCUUUUUAUAAACUUUAUUGAACUUUAUUUAAUUACCUUUUUAUAAACUUUAUUGAACUUCAUUAUCAGUACAAUAUUUAAUAUGGGUGCUAUUUUAAUGUUAAGAUUAUUCAAGUCUACUAAGCACAUUGUGCACAUUCAUUUGUACACCUGCUCAUCUUCCUUUAAGAUGCUUGGUAUUUCAUGUUGGUGUGCCUAUGGCUUAACAGCACUUUCAUGUAGUAAGUAGUAUGGUUAGUGGAUAUCAGCAUCAGCUUUGCACCCAGCAGCUCUGGAUUCAAGUCCUGGAUUGAAAGCUCCUAAUUGUUUCCUGUCUCUGGACAUAUCUUAGCCUCUGCUCUCUCAUUCAUCUGUGGAAAGGGUAAUCAAACCCACUUUAUGGACAUACUGUUGAAAGGAUUCAGUGAGAUGAGGUACAUAAAGGGCUUUCCUGGCAUGGUAACUGUGCAGAGAAUAGCAAUUCUUCAAUUUAGGCCUCACUGAGACCCUUAAUGGUUCAAUUCUAUGGCAAAGGGAGGGACAGAGGGGAAAGUGCUGUCCCCAGAGAUUGUGAGAUGUCUAACCCCAGGUCACACAGCUUAGGUGUGCCAGAGGGAGGCUUCCUCCUCCAGGCCAAUGCUGGCCUGACUCAUGUUUGCAUCCUCUAUGUUCUGACAGAGUAAACAUUCCAGAAACAAGGAGUAAAUGCAUUUAAAGAAAAUCUUGACAAUUUAGUGAAUGUUAGGAAUUCCUGUGGUGAAUUAAAGUCAUGGAUGAGCACAUUGAGAGUGAGACACUAGCAUAGCAGAAAAUAGUCUUUUUGCUGAGGCUGUGUUUCACACCCUGUGGUGGGCAAGAAUAUUAUAUUGCUUGUUUUUAUGUUGCCAGUGCUUAAGAAAGUGCCUUGUAAAGACACUGAGUUCAUGUUUGUUUAAUAACUGAAUAAGUAAAUGGAUGAGCUUAAAAAACUGAGAGUUAAGUUUUAAUUAAAAUAUUUUAAUUGUAAAAAAGAUGCUUUAUUAUUAUCUUGCCACUAACAUUUUGGAAAGAGUGUAUGCCUUUGAGUAAGUUGUUAUCUUAGAAUCUGCCUAAUUGCGUUCUUUUGUACAUUCAGUAUAAAAUUCCUGUUACUCUAAGUCUUCUCUAAAUUCUUUCUUUUUUGUUUACAAACAACUGGGCUUUGCUUUUUCAGUAUUUAAAAAACAUUAAUCCUUUUCUUAAGACUCUUUUAUUGAAAUAAUAUAAAUAUACUUGCAUGGACUAAAUUAAUAGAAAGUCGAGACUUGCAGAUUUUUGUUUGUUUUAUAACUCACAUUCAGGUAGCAAAGUAUUGAUAGUGGUGUUUUGAGGAAUCUAUGUUACAGAGUGAAAAAAAAAUGAUACUCAAUGAGUAAACAACUUUCAAUACCCAGAUACUUCUAAAGUCCUUUAAAUCGUGUUGUGUCCUUAGGACAGUUAAUCAUGCACUGAAAUCUUAUUUACUCUCUUAUUUUUGAUAGUCAAAUAAAAGACUACAUCACUUUGGUCUCAGUAUUAUUAUAAAUUCACUAUUGAUUAAGUCACAAUUAAAGAUUUAGCUCAAAGAAUAAGAGUUGAAGAUAUGCUUAAAAGAUGCUAUUUUAUAUAUAUUUAUAUAUCAUAUAAUAUAUAUAUAUAUAUAUAUGUAUAGCUGCUAUAUUUGUUUUAGAAUCAUGUGAACCUCACCAGUUCUCUCCAUGGGCAGUUUUCAGUAGCAAUUAGACUGAAAAUGUGAUUUGUUUGACUGUCA
rnacentral:lncRNA from 1 species